UACGUAGGGCGCGAGCGUUGUCCGGAAUUAUUGGGCGUAAAGGGUGCGUAGGCGGUCUGACAAGUCUGAUGUGAAAUCUAUGGGCUCAACCCAUAGCCUGCAUCGGAAACUGUCGGGCUUGAGUAUGGGGAGAGGUGAGUGGAAUUUCCGGUGUAGCGGUGAAAUGCGUAGAUAUCGGAAGGAACACCUGUGGCGAAAGCGGCUCACUGGACCAUUACUGACGCUGAGGCACGAAAAGCUAGGGGGAGCAAACAGG
rnacentral:rRNA from 1 species